rnacentral:rRNA from 1 species
GACGAACGCUGGCGGCGUGCUUAACACAUGCAAGUCGAACGGAAAGGCCCUGCUUUUGUGGGGUGCUCGAGUGGCGAACGGGUGAGUAACACGUGAGUAACCUGCCCUUGACUUUGGGAUAACUUCAGGAAACUGGGGCUAAUACCGGAUAGGAGCUCCUGCUGCAUGGGGGGGGUUGGAAAGUUUCGGCGGAUGGGGAUGGACGCCCGGCUUAUCAGCUUGUGGGUGGGGUAGUGGCUUACCAAGGCUUUGACGGGUAGCCGGCCUGAGAGGGUGACCGGCCACAUUGGGACUGAGAUACGGACCAGACUCCUACGGGAGGCAGCAGUGGGGAAUAUUGCACAAUGGGCGGAAGCCUGUUGCAGCAACGCCGCGUGCGGGAUGACGGCCUUCGGGUUGUAAACCGCUUUCGCCUGUGACGAAGCGUGAGUGACGGUAAUGGGUAAAGAAGCACCGGCUAACUACGUG